GGGGACGUAGCUCAAUUGGUUAGAGCUCGUGAUUGUCGAUCACGAGGUUGCGAGUUCGAGUCUCGUCGUCCCCG
rnacentral:tRNA from 1 species